UGCUGACGCUCAUUGUUAAAAGACGUCACCUGACCAUUUUGCUUGCUAGCAUAAAAAAAGUGAAGUUGAAUUUAACAGUUAACGUCAUCGCUGGACCUUCGUUAAUCAUAUCGAUUUAAAAUAAAAAAUAGACUUUGACGAUGAAUCCUCUCAAUCCCAUACAAAUGUGCGGGUUAUGUGAAAUCUGUCUGCAAACAAAUAUCAGGAAUCAUGCUUGUUUAAGAUGAUGGAGUGACCAUAAUAAAAAGUAGAAUGCCAAGUAUAAAUAAAAAAAUAGUAACAACGCAAUCACACAAGAAAAAUAAAUUUUGUUUCGUCCAUACAAGAAUAUUAUCUGAAUAAAAUUCUUAUGAGAAACGAAGAAAUUCAGAUGAAGGCUUAAAAGCAAAACUUAAUGAUGAAGAAACUCUCAUUUUAAAAAGUUAGUUCCAGUUACGAAAGCCUCUUUGGAAUUAUAAACUUCCACUAUCACGCAACAUUAAAAAUUACAGUCAAUGCAGUUAAUGAAAUAAAAUUUAAAAGCUUACAUGAUACAUACAACGAAUAAAUAUUAAAUAAAUGUAAAUAAAUAUAAUAUUCAAAAUAA